rnacentral:lncRNA from 1 species
UGGUUAGGUAGAAGCCAACACCGUCGCCGGCGACGGCCGCCGGUGCGGCGGCCCACGGUGGAAGGACGGUGAGCUAGAUUUUAGAGAGCGCGCGCAUGUGAAUGUUUUUGACUCUGUUGACUUGUCCAAGUCAACAGAGGUGAGUUGAUUGGGCUUAAAUGCCCGGGCCCAUGGAGAUUACUCUUUACACACCAAUUAUUACUAGUGAACCCCCAGAGAUUAGUGAUGAAUGUGGAAUUGGGCUUUGCCAAGCCCAUUAGCACCAUUUGCUAAUUCCCACGCGUUUU